UCCGUAGGGGGCAAGCGUUGUCCGGAUUUACUGGGCGUAAAGAGCGUGUAGGCGGCCAAUCAGGUCCGUUGUGAAAACUGGAGGCUCAACUUCCAGACGGCGACGGAAACCGUGUGGCUAGAGUCCGGAAGAGGAGAGUGGAAUUCCUGGUGUAGCGGUGAAAUGCGCAGAGAUCAGGAAGAACACCAAUGGCGAAGGCAGCUCUCUGGGACGGUACUGACGCUGAGACGCGAAAGCGUGGGGAGCGAACAGG
rnacentral:rRNA from 1 species